GCACUCUCUUAAGGUGGACUCAGUGCUCCAACAUGCUAACACAGAGGGUAAAGGAAGUCUCCAUAAAACAACCCAGAUUGUAAAAAUUCUUCCUUGGAUCCUGUCUGGAGUCACAGCC